rnacentral:tRNA from 1 species
GCGGGUGUAAUUCAGUGGUAGAAUGUCAGCUUCCAAAGCUGAACGUCGCCUGUUCGAAUCCGGUCACCCGCU